UACGUAGGGACCAAGCGUUGUUCGGAUUUACUGGGCGUAAAGGGCGCGUAGGCGGCAAUUCAAGUCAGCUGUGAAAUCUCCGGGCUUAACUCGGAACGGUCAGCUGAUACUGCUUUGCUAGAGUGCAGAAGGGGCAAUCGGAAUUCUUGGUGUAGCGGUGAAAUGCGUAGAUAUCAAGAGGAACACCUGAGGUGAAGGCGGGUGCUGGGCCGACACUGACGCUGAGGCGCGAAAGCUAGGGGAGCAAACGGG
rnacentral:rRNA from 1 species